ACUACAAGGAGCCCCAUAGAUUUCCAAGGUCUCCUCACUGGCAUCCACAUUCAGGGGAUCUGGAUCAGUCCCAUGCUGGUUUCCCAGCUAUCAGUCUGGGGUCCAAGAACUGAUGGAUGGAUUAUGAGGUAUUGUUUGAUUCAGGUGCAGACUAAACAGAUUUAGGGAAGACAAGUAUAGGUAGAGCUGGUACCACAGCUUAGUUUAUUAAAGCAAACUAUAACUGGUUUGUUAGACAUGCUGAAUCUGUGCAGACACUACCCUGUUUUUCUUCUCUCCAUCUACCUUAUAACAAGCAGAUCUCCCUUUUAAAACUCCUGGAUGGUGUUUCAGACCCAUCCUUCCUGUGCGGUGUGACUCUCGAAUGUAAGAAGACUCUCACUUUUAACUGUGGAACAUUUCUGUUCCGUCCAAAUUAAACUUUAAUUUCUGAUCCAACUCAGAUUAUCUGUCCUCCCUCCUACUGCAGUUGGUAGGCAGGGGUCAAUGUGGAGGAAAGUGGACCUGCCUGCAUUUAUUCCAGGUAUCGGGCAGUCCCUAUGAUGUCUUCUUGAUCAACAGGGAAAACUGUCUGUUCUGCCCAGAGGUGGAAUAACCUGCCCUUAUGUCAACCCCUUGUCCCACCCCUGCAGCAGAAGUUCCAGCCUAUUCUUUGGGUCUCUUUGGAGGCUUUAAAGUCCCGGAAACACUUUUCAGCUUCUUUCCAAACUCUCUUGCCUCCUAGAGUAACCCAAAUGCAGCCCAGAAUGUAUCCCUCUAGGAGGAAAAGUCCAACAUCCCGUUUUAGACAGUUCCCUGGGCGCUUCUGAAUGCUCACUGCCAGCCAGCCAGGUGGUAUGGUGGGGGUCAUACAUGGCUUUAAUUCCAGCACUUGGAAGGCAGAAGCAGGCAGAUCUCUAAGAGUUCAAGGCCAGUCUGGUCUACAAAGCAAGUUCCAGGACAAUUAACACAAAGAAACACUGUCUGGAAAAACAAAACAAAACAAGGAAAAGAAUGUUCUUCUGUUUUCACUAGUCUCUGUUCUAUCUAGACAGAGAAGGAAUGCCCCCACAUACUCUUUAAGCAAAGUACCCUUAAAAGUGCAUCUGCCCAAUGGGCCCUGACUGACUCAGUGUAGGGGAAGCUGUAGCCACGCCGGUGGUAGUCUGUACAGCAAGAAGCAAAGAGAAACCGAAACCGAAAACGCAGUCCCCCCUACUCACUCUGACCACGCCCUCACAAGCCCUCAGGUACUCUUGUAGCCAGCCCCUAAGAAGGCGUGGCUACAGCUUCCCCUACAACUCAGGAAUGACAGCUGACAGCUGAGAAACCUGCGUAAAACUGCACUAGGCCCUCUGAAUGUGGAUGACAUUUGAGUGGCUUGGGCAGUUUGUGGGGCUGCUCACAGUGGAACCAGUAUUUAUACCUAGUGCAUGAACUGGCUUUUUGGAGCCCAUUCCCUCUGGAGGGAUACCUUGCUCAUCCUAGAUACAAGGGAGAGGGCCUCAAGUAAUGUGACAGACUUUGCUGACUCCCCAGGGGAGGCCUCACCCCGAUGGCCAGUAGGGAGAAUGUAGGGGAAGGGGGAGGACAGGAAGGAGAGGGAACUGGGAUUGGUAUGUAAAAUAAGAUUGUUUUAAAAAAUUUUAAAAAUGCAUCUGCCCUAAUGAAUUUCAGGUCUUUCCUGCUGUGUGUUGUUUAGAAUGGUGGUUGCCUUCUGUCUUAGAUUUCUAUUGCUGUGAUUGAAAAAAACACCAUAACUAAAAGCAAUUUGGGGAAGAAAGGGUUUAGUGUACCUUAAAGCUCUCAGGCCACACUCCAUCGAUGAGGGAAGUCAUGGCAGGAACCUAGGAUCAGGAACUGAAGCAAAGGCCACGAAGGAAGGAAUGGAAGGAAUGUUGCUUACUGAUGUGCUUCUCCUGGCUUGCUUGGUUUGCUUUCUCAUACACCCAGGAACAACCUGACCACAGGUUGCACUGCCUGUAUCAGAUGCUGGACUUCUCCUCCUUUCGAGAUGCCUUCUGGUCUGCAUUUGGGUUACUACAGGAGGCAAAAAGGACUACCUGGCCUAGCACAUUCUACCAACAGAAGCAAGAAAUAAAAAACAUUUGCCAAAACAAGAUAAAGAAGCAGGUCACAGUGACAUAAAGUCUCAACAAAUGCGGGUGAAAUGAGAGGAUCACUGUGUUCUUUAAAAUUCCAGAUUUGUGUGUAAGGCUGGAAACUUGUUUACUUCUGUGUUUUAUUGGAUGCAACCUAAAAGAAUUAUAAUUGAUGUGUUAA